rnacentral:rRNA from 1 species
ACGCUCGACACCUACGGGAGUCAGCAGUGGGGAAUAUUGCACAAUGGGGGAAACCCUGAUGCAGCGACGCCGCGUGAGCGAAGAAGUAUCUCGGUAUGUAAAGCUCUAUCAGCAGGGAAGAAGAUGACGGUACCUGACUAAGAAGCACCGGCUAAAUACGUGCAAGCAGCCGCGGUAAUCUGAGGCGGGCUGGCAAGGC